UGGUACUUCGGUACUCGGGCAGAGACCUGCAUUUCACGUCCUCCGUAAUCCUGUUCAAGUGACGAACCCGCGGGGGUGGACCCCACUGUUCAGUUGGGGCCUUGCCUUCGUAAUCCUGUUCAGCGGUCCCUCCCCGGGCCUUCAUUUGUUCAGUUGGAGUGUGUUAAAUCGCAGGCCUAUUUGCUGGAUCGCUAGUAUCAUCGGUCGGUGCCAUCGACCGUGAUAAGAUCCAGACGACGUGACAGGAAUCGGGCGAAGGUCAAUGCUUGGGCUUUCCGCUGAACCUUAGGGUUAUCCGGUGCACGGGGGUACGUCAUGUAGGUUUGUUAGUUCUUUCGAGAGAUCGCGAUCUCGUUCGUUUCGGGCGCGCCGCGAUUUUUUCCUUUAUCAUCUGAUUCAUCGGGCAUUUUCUUGUUUACCCAUUUUUAAGGGAUACUUAUUGAGAUCACGUUAGAGUUUAUAACUUUUCAGUAUCUUCAAUAUCUUACAGUGUCGCAAAAAUAGAACGAUAACUAGUUUAGCACAGCGACUCGUAUGUCCCUUCUGCGAGACAUGAAAUGAUAUAUACAGUGUCAGUAGCUACGUUUUCUUCCUUUCAUUUCAAGUUAGAUAAAUGUGUGUUUGAUACCGAAUGAUGCCAGUAGGGAUGCGAAUUAUUGUACGAUAUUUGUACUGAUCGAUGUAAUCGUUGUGUGGGAGAUAGCUGGUGUGUUAUGUAUGUUGUUUUACCUUUGUAAAGAUUUAUGUAAGCGCUGCGUUCGAGAUAUGUGUUUCGCAGUUAGGCUACGAAACAACUAUCUCUUUACGCAGGCCCAUGAUCAAGUAGAGUCAGAACUCGACAUUCUUACCAAUAGGUUAAAUGUCGAGACCGAUGCAUAAUGUUGAAUAACUCAUGGGCGGGUCUCGUGCGUAGUCACCUCCUCGUGGUGAGACCUGGUAAUUGGCAUCGUUUUCCAAAAAUUAAUCAGUUGAUUAAUCUUUGGAAAACGAUACCAAGCCAAGAACUACGCAACAGUCCAGUUUGGAUCGCCAAAGGCCACUAAGAGAAUCUUGUUCAAACUAAUUGAUAGUCGAAAACUAGUAUUAAAGAAGUGUGAAUUUAGUCUUAGUUUGCAGGAACUAUUAAAAUGAUAAAAAUGGAUAUCGUAUUAAAUUGGCAAAACAAUAUCGCCGCUACAAUGUUGCUUUAUUAUAAAAUAAUUUUACAUCUCUGCUUCUAAUGAUUAAAAACUGUUUAUAUAAAUGGGACCCGAGCGUAGUUACCUCCUCGUGGUGGGUCCCGGUAAUUGGUAUCGUUUCCCAAAUAAUAAUACACCAAGUACUAUUUUGAAUAUUAGUAUUAUUAUUUGAGAAACGAUAUCAAGCUAAAAACUACUUCAAUAUAGUCUGGUCUUGAUCAUCCAAAAUAGUUUUGGUGAUCUAGACCGGACUAAGACCCCCCCGCGGGGGCGCCGUGGGACAUCGUGGGACAUCGCGGGACACCGUGGGACAUCGCGGGACACCGUGGGAUGCGAGCGUUUUAGCCUUAAUUAAUCUUAAGAUAGAUACCUAUGUUAUGUGCAUUGUAAGCUCAUUCUGUACAAAGAUACCUAUCUAUCUUGGAACGAAAAAUAAAAAUCUCGUCUCUCGUGAUGCCCUCGCUUACCACAUUGGAAAAA